rnacentral:rRNA from 1 species
AUUGAACGCUGGCGGCAUGCCUUACACAUGCAAGUCGAACGGCAGCACGGGGCAACCUGGUGGCGAGUGGCGAACGGGUGAGUAAUGCAUCGGAACGUACCUUUCAGUGGGGGAUAACGUAGCGAAAGUUACGCUAAUACCGCAUAUUCUGUGAGCAGGAAAGCAGGGGAUCGCAAGACCUUGCGCUUAUUGAGCGGCCGAUGUCAGAUUAGCUAGUUGGGGAGGUAAAGGCUAACCAAGGCGACGAUCUGUAGCGGGUCUGAGAGGAUGAUCCGCCACACUGGAACUGAGACACGGUCCAGACUCCUACGGGAGGCAGCAGUGGGGAAUGUUGGACAAUGGGGGCAACCCUGAUCCAGCCAUGCCGCGUGAGUGAAGAAGGCCUUCGGGUUGUAAAGCUCUUUCGGCCGGGAAGAAAUCGCACGGGCUAAUACCCUGUGUGGAUGACGGUACCGGAAUAAGAAGCACCGGCUAACUUCGUGCCAGCAGCCGCCGUAAAAC